rnacentral:rRNA from 1 species
UUCAAUACUGCCUUCAACCGCAGUGUGCACUUUUCCCUUAGUAAGACGUCGUGAUCCAUUAGAAAUCGAUAGACGCCAGUCUAUGUUGGGUCAUCAAUGAGCCGAUGCGAAGUUUGUUGGAACAAAUGGCGUGGUCUUUCAACGGCCGCGUGUAUUGUCUGAUGAGCGCGUCGUCACUCGCUAUGACUGUCUGAUGGAUUUUAGGGAUCAUAUCAUUGGUGUUUCGGCACCACUCGCUUCGGCGGGCAUGGAUAUGUGUCUGAUCAACGACGGUUAAAUUUGGGAUACCUUUUGGACCCGUCUUGAAACACGGACCAAGGAGUCUAUCUAGUAUGCGAGUAAAUGGGUUGUUGAUGAAACCUAUUUGCGUAAAAAACUUGACUGUGUCAUGGGAUUACGAGUGAGUCUCGUGCUUGCUCUUCCAUCCCGGGGUAUUUUUAUCAACAUAUGAGCAAUCAUAUGGAAAAUAUACCAUGAGCAUACUGGAUACGACCCGAAAGAUGGUGAACUAUGCCUGAUCAGGUCGAAGUCAGGGGAAACCCUGAUGGAGGACCGAAGCAGUUCUGACGUGCAAAUCG